UACGUAGGUGGCAAGCGUUGUCCGGAUUUACUGGGCGUAAAGAGCGCGCAGGCGGUCGCUCAAGUCGCGUGUGAAAGCCCCCGGCUCAACUGGGGAGGGUCACGCGAUACUGAUCGACUGGAAGGCAGGAGAGGGUAGUGGAAUUCCCGGUGUAGUGGUGAAAUGCGUAGAUAUCGGGAGGAACACCAGUGGCGAAGGCGGGUUGCUGGGCUGACACUGACGCUGAAGUGCGAAAGCUAGGGGAGCGAACGGG
rnacentral:rRNA from 1 species